GGUAGCCAUUUGAUUAGCUGUUCAGGAGUCUUAUGGCUUGGGGGUAGAAGCUGUUUAGAAGCCAUCACCAUGGAAACAGUGUGUUGUGAGCCAAUGGGGGAAGUGGGAGUCCCAGACCAGAGUGGGAAAGUUGUUCGGAGGGAAUAUUUUGGUACCAUCAGCAGUUUUCCUUACUGGCUGCUCCCACCGCACAUUUGUGGAAAUUUGUCACCUCCUCAGCCUGGUGUCCAUGUCGUGGUGACAGUUCGCCACUGUGUCUCCUUCAGCUCUUACACCAUCCUGGACUGCUUUUCACCUGAUCCUCACCCAGGAGACAGUGCAUGGGACCGAUGUGAAGAACAGCUACUGGUUGAGGACAGAGGGUUUAGAGAGAUGCCUGCAACAUAUUGAGGCCCAUGGAUGUGUAACGGAUGUGAAACGGCUAGCUUAGUUAGCGGUGCGCGCUGAAUAACGUUUCAAUCAGUGACGUCACUUGCUCUGAGACCUUGAAGUAGUAGUUCCCCUUGCUCUGCGGCUGUUGUGGAGCGAUGGGUUGUGGAGCGAUGGGUAACGAUGCUUCGAGGGUGACUGUUGUUGUGUGCAGAGGGUCCCCAGUUCGCGUCCGGGUAUGGGCGAGGGGACGGUCUAAAAUUUUACUGUUACAGAUGCAUAGUCGAAACUCUGACCACCGACAGGCAUCCAAGUGUGAGGGUGUUCUUGAGGGACUCCAAUCCUCAUAUCUGGCAUGAGUACGACCUGUGGCACAAUGCCAAAGGUGUGAGGAAACAGCUGUUGGCCAUCGCAAAGCCAGAGGUACUGCAAUGGGUGAGGGCAAUCGCACACCACUUGGGAUACUGUGCCAAGAGUCCAGCUGGUGAAGGAAAAAGGGAUCACUGCAGUUCACCACAUCACAAAUGAGCACCCGCAACAGACCUCUCCCCCUACACACCUGAAGAGGAAGAAACAGGACCCUGGCUGAUCACAGCAUCAACAGCUUUUGAGAAAGUGAACAUGAGUGUUCAUCCCCUGUACACUAAAUAAGUGCCCAAGAGGAACAAGUUUGACCAGCAAUGGGAUGGUUGCAAGACUCCAAGGGGCUGCCUUGGACCACAAUCAUUCAGGGGAAAGACAUCAGGCUACAACAAAGGAGGGAGUGCUCAGAUUCAAACAAUAAUUCUUCAAGACUCCAAGGGGCUGCCUUGGACCACAACCAUUCGGGGGAAAGACAUCAGGCUACAACAAAGGAGGGAGUGCUCAGAUUCAAACAAUAAUUCUUCAAGACUCCAAGGGGCUGCCUUGGACCACAAUCAUUCAGGGGAAAGACAUCAGGCUACAACAAAGGAG